AGUGAACGCUGGCGGUAGGCCUAACACAUGCAAGUCGAACGGCAGCACAGUGAGAGCUUGCUCUUACGGGUGGCGAGUGGCGGACGGGUGAGGAAUACAUCGGAAUCUACUUUUUCGUGGGGGAUAACGUAGGGAAACUUACGCUAAUACCGCAUACGACCUACGGGUGAAAGCAGGGGAUCUUCGGACCUUGCGCGAUUGAAUGAGCCGAUGUCGGAUUAGCUAGUUGGCGGGGUAAAGGCCCACCAAGGCGACGAUCCGUAGCUGGUCUGAGAGGAUGAUCAGCCACACUGGAGCGUAGACACGGUCCAGACUCCUACGAGAGGCAGCAGUGGGGAAUAUUGGACAAUGGGCGCAAGCCUGAUCCAGCCAUACCGCGUGGGUGAAGAAGGCCUUCGGGUUGUAAAGCCCUUUUGUUGGGAAAGAAAAGCAGCAGGUUAAUACCCCGCUGUUCUGACGGUACCCAAAGAAUAAGCACCGGCUAACUUCGUG
rnacentral:rRNA from 1 species